rnacentral:tRNA from 1 species
AAGUGAGUGUAGCUCAGUGGUAGAGUUUAAUUUUGCCAAAAUUAAUGUCGCGUGUUCAAAUCACGUCACUCACUUA